rnacentral:misc_RNA from 1 species
GAAUUGCGAUAUGUAAUGUGAAUUGCAGAAUUCAGUGAAUCAUCGAAUCUUUGAACGCACCUUGCACCCUUUGGUAUUCCGAAGGGUAUGCCUGUUUGAGUGUCAUUAAUAUCUCAACUUCAAAAGUGUUUAUCGUUUUUGAAGCUUGGACUUUGGAGGUCGUUGCAGGCAAAUUGACUUUGUCAGCUCCUCUUAAAUGCAUUAGCGGAACUUUGUUAAGUACCGGCUUUGGUUUGAUAAAUCCUAUCUAUGCCGUCGCUGUGGACUUUUGUAUGUUCAGCUCCUAAUGGUCUUCGGACUGUCUCUAUGUUGAGGCAUACACUUUAAGCUUGACCUCAAAUCAGGUAGGACUACCCGCUGAACUUAA